CCAGACUCCUACGGGAGGCAGCAGUGAGGAAUAUUGGUCAAUGGGCUUACGCCUGAACCAGCCAAGUCGCGUGAGGGAAGACUGCCCUAUGGGUUGUAAACCUCUUUUGCCGGGGAGCAAAAAGCGGUACGUGUACCGCAUCGAGAGUACCCGGAGAAAAAGCAUCGGCUAACUCCGUGCCAGCAGCCGCGGUAAUACGGAGGAUGCGAGCGUUAUCCGGAUUUAUUGGGUUUAAAGGGUGCGCAGGCGGCGAGUUAAGUCAGCGGUAAAAUUGCGGGGCUCAACCUCGUCGAGCCGUUGAAACUGGGUGCCUUGAGUGGGCGAGAAGUACGCGGAAUGCGUGGUGUAGCGGUGAAAUGCAUAGAUAUCACGCAGAACUCCGAUUGCGAAGGCAGCGUACCGGCGCCCAACUGACGCUGAAGCACGAAGGCGUGGGUAUCGAACAGGAUUAGAUACCCCAGUA
rnacentral:rRNA from 1 species